rnacentral:rRNA from 1 species
AGCAGCCGCGGUAAUUCCAGCUCCAAUAGCGUAUAUUAAAGUUGUUGCAGUUAAAAAGCUCGUAGUUGAAUUUCGGAAUCAAUAUAUCGGUCGUGCCUCUGGUACGCACUUAUUUAUUGAUUUCUCACUUCUGACGAAUCAUAAUGUCAUUAGUUUGGUGUUAUGAGGAAUCAGGACUGUUACUUUGAAAAAUUAGAGUGUUUAAAGCAGGCUCGCGCUUGAAUACAUUAGCAUGGAAUAAUGAAAUAGGAUGUUUGAUCUUAUUUUGUUGGUUUCUAGGAUCGACGUAAUGAUUAAUAGGGAUAGUUGGGGGCAUUAGUAUUAAAUUGUCAGAGGUGAAAUUCUUGGAUUUAUUGAAGACUAACUACUGCGAAAGCAUUUGCCAAGGAUGUUUUCAUUAAUCAAGAACGAAAGUUAGGGGAUCGAAGACGAUCAGAUACCGUCGUAGUC